rnacentral:rRNA from 1 species
UCCGGUGACAAUGGCGGAGGAGAAACACCCGUUCCCAUCCCGAACACGGCAGUUAAGCCCUCCAGCGCCGAUGGUACUUAGGGCGGCGGCCCUUGGGAGAGUAGGUCGUUGCCGGGA